AUCACCUGGGGAUCUUGCUAAUAUGCAGAUUCUGAUUCAGCAGUUCUGGGACAGGGACAAAGAGUUUGCAUUUUUAACAAGUUCCCAGGUGACGUUGC
rnacentral:pre_miRNA from 1 species